UUAAGUUCAGCGGGUAUCCCUACCUGAUCCGAGGUCAAAAUUGUGAAGAUAGCUUCUGGGAGCCAAUACGACGGGCCCGAGUUCGCGUUUCUGCUGCGCUCGAAGCCAAUGUACCGGCCGCCAAUAAUUUUGAGGCGAGUCCACGCGCCCGGAGGCGGCGGACAGUCACCCAACACAACGCUGAGCUUGAAGGUUAACUG
rnacentral:misc_RNA from 1 species